AGAGCGAACGCUGGCGGCAGGCCUAACACAUGCAAGUCGAGCGCCCGUAGCAAUACGGGAGCGGCAGACGGGAUAGUAACACGUGGGAACGCGCCCUUCGGUUCGGAAUAACUCAGGGAAACUUGAGCUAAUACCGGAUACGCCCUUACGGGGAAAGAUUUAUUGCCGAAGGAACGGCCCGCGUCCGAUUAGCUAGUUGGUGAGGUAAUGGCUCACCAAGGCGACGAUCGGUAGCUGGUCUGAGAGGAUGACCAGCAUCACUGGGACUGAGACACGGCCCAGACUCCUACGGGAGGCAGCAGUGGGAAUAUGGACAAUGGGCGCAAGCCUGAUCCAGCCAUGCCGCGUGGAUGAUGAAGGCCUUAGGGUUGUAAAGUCCUUUAAGGGAAGAUAAUGACGGUACCCGUAGAAUAAGCCCGGCUAACUUCGCGCCAGCAGCCGC
rnacentral:rRNA from 1 species